rnacentral:rRNA from 1 species
AGAGUUUGAUUAUGGCUCAGAACGAACGCUGGCGGCAGGCCUAACACAUGCAAGUCGAACGAUAUAGUGGCAGACGGGUGAGUAACGCGUGGGAACGUACCUUUCACUACGGAAUAGCUCUGGGAAACUGGUGGUAAUACCGUAUACGCCCUUAGGGGGAAAGAUUUAUCGGUGAAAGAUCGGCCCGCGUUGGAUUAGCUAGUUGGUGAGGUAAUGGCUCACAAAGGCGACGAUCCAUAGCUGGUCUGAGAGGAUGAUCAGCCACACUGGGACUGAGACACGGCCCAGACUCCUACGGGAGGCAGCAGUGGGGAAUCUUGCACAAUGGGCGAAAGCCUGAUGCAGCCAUGCCGCGUGAAUGAUGAAGGCCUUAGGGUUGUAAAAUUCUUUCGUCAGGGAUGAUAAUGACCGUACCUGAAGAAGAAGCCCCGGCUAACUUCGUGCCAGCAGCCGCGGUAAUACGGAGGGGGCUAGCGUCGUUCGGAAUUACUGGGCGUAAAGCGCACGUAGGCGGACUUUUAAGUCAGGUGUGAAAUCCCGGGGCUCAACCUCGGAACUGCAUUUGAAACUGGAAGUCUGGAGAUCAGGAGAGGUUAGCGGAAUACCGAGUGUAGAGGUGAAAUUCGUAGAUAUUCGGUGGAACACCAGUGGCGAAGGCGGCUAACUGGACUGAUACUGACGCUGAGGUGCGAAAGUGUGGGGAGCAAACAGGAUUAGAUACCCUGGUAGUC